GAGUCACUUGACUUUUCUUCUAGGAGUGGGAGGAGGAGAGACUGUCCCCUGCAGGGGCUGCGGAAGGAAGGGAGGAAGACCAGGGACAUGAGCCGUCCCGGCUCACAGGCAUGUGCGGGCAGACCUGGUAGGGCCGAUUCUGGGCCGUGGACAUUGCUUUGAAGAGAGGGAGGCUGGAUACCUUCUGUGGGUGCUCAGACCCCACAGUAAGGGCUGAGAGACUGAGGGCUGUGGCCAGCCUUGAGUUGCUCGUGCAUCCUCGGACACCCUAACAAGUGUCCUCAGUUCUGGGCGGGACUCUCCUCAUCGUCUCUACCACUGGCCCAGACAUGGCACUCAAAGGGCGAGCCCUCUAUGACUUCCGCAGCGAGAACAAGGAGGAGAUCAGCAUCUGGCAGGACGAGGACCUGGUCAUCUUCAGUGAGACCUCGCUGGAUGGCUGGCUGCAGGGCCAGAACAGCCGUGGGGAGACUGGGCUCUUCCCUGCCUCUUACGUGGAGAUCCUCCGUUCUGACACCGGCUCCAACCAUGCCAACUACCCCGGCAGCCCCGCAGGCUCUCUGGGCACCCAGGUGAGCUUGUAUGACAGCUCCAGCACUUCCAGAAGUGGCGGCGGCAGUGGCUUUCUGUCAAACCAGGGUAGUUUCGAGGAGGACGAUGACGAUGACUGGGAUGACUGGGAUGACGGAUGCACGGUGGUGGAGGAGCCACGGGCCGGUGGGCUGGGCACCAAUGGGCACCCUCCGCUCAACCUCUCCUACCCUGGUGCCUACCCCAGCCAACACAUGGCCUUCCGGCCCAAGCCACCCCUGGAGCGGCAGGACAGCCUGGCAUCUGCCAAGAGAGGCAGCGUGGUGGGGCGCAACCUCAACCGCUUCUCGUGCUUCGUGCGUUCUGGCGUGGAGGCCUUCAUCCUGGGUGACGUGCCCAUGAUGGCCAAGAUCGCUGAGACAUACUCCAUUGAAAUGGGCCCCCACGGCCCCCAGUGGAAGGCCAACCCCCAUCCAUUUUCAUGCUCCGUGGAGGACCCAACCAAACAGACCAAAUUCAAGGGCAUCAAAAGCUACAUCUCCUACAAGCUCACACCCACCCACGCCAGCUCACCUGUCUACCGGCGCUACAAACACUUCGAUUGGCUCUACAACCGCCUGCUGCACAAAUUCACUGUCAUUUCGGUGCCCCACCUCCCAGAGAAGCAGGCCACAGGUCGCUUUGAGGAGGACUUUAUUGAGAAGCGGAAGCGGCGGCUCAUCCUCUGGAUGGACCACAUGACCAGCCACCCUGUGCUGUCCCAGUAUGAGGGUUUCCAGCAUUUCCUCAGCUGCCUGGAUGACAAGCAGUGGAAGAUGGGCAAACGCCGGGCUGAGAAGGAUGAGAUGGUGGGCGCCAGCUUCCUGCUCACCUUCCAGAUCCCCACAGAGCACCAGGACCUGCAGGACGUGGAGGACCGCGUGGACACCUUCAAAGCCUUCAGCAAGAAGAUGGACGACAGUGUCCUGCAGCUCAGCACGGUGGCUUCAGAGCUGGUGCGCAAGCAUGUGGGGGGCUUCCGCAAGGAAUUCCAGAAGCUGGGCAAUGCCUUCCAGGCCAUCAGCCAUGCCUUCCAGAUGGACCCCCCCUUCAGCUCCGAGGCCCUCAACAGCGCCAUCUCUCACACGGGCCGAACCUAUGAAAUGGUUGGUGAAAUGUUCGCUGAGCAGCCCAAGAAUGACCUCUUCCGGAUGCUUGACACACUGUCUCUCUACCAGGGACUGCUCUCCAACUUCCCCGACAUCAUUCACCUGCAGAAAGCAGACGGAGACUCAGAGGCAACGAGUCACCUGUGUGAGACGGCGCAGCUGCUUGGUGGCAGGCAGGACUGACUUCUGCGUGGACACAGCCGUGCCCUUCCCACGGCACCAGGAGCGUCUCUCAGCCUCCUCCCAGAGCUCUGUCUGCUCCAGGGCCUGUCUCCUCCUCGCUCAAGCUCUGCAUCAUCUUCCUCCCUCUUAAUACUCCUACUUAACCUCAGGUAAGUCCUCUGACUCAAUGGGGAGGCGGGAGGUCAGAGUGGGGCUGCUGGCUUCUCCUACCCAGAACCUGGCCCCUUGCUGCACACCUCACUCUCCCUGCCCCAGCCCAGCAAAGCACAUGCUCCCACGUCCAUCUUCUUCAGGGGGGGAUGCAUGCAUCUGGCCUUCCAGGAAGACUGAACAUUUGUUCAGCACCUACUGUGCACCAGGCACUGUGACAGCUGUCAUAGAUUACAAAGAUCACAGCAACACCAACCUGGAAGCGCCUACAACAUGCCAGAUCCACGCCAGGCGGUUCAACAACUGCUGUUACAACAGCGACUCAUCACGGCGUCGACAUUCACUGACUGUUUACACACGUACUGAGUGUUCACUGCGUGUCCGGGGCUCUUCUAAGAGCUUUGCAACAGCCAUGACCCUUUGAAACAAAGCCUUGGUCAGUUGCUCUGCCAGGUCCUAACUCAGGCAGAGGAGCGGGAGCUGGCCGGGGCCUCUGGCUGCACACGUUGCACAGAUGCUGGAAGGGAUAAGAGAUGGGGCAGAAAUGAAGGAGUGGGGCUCUAGGCAGAGAGCGGGCGGCCUGCUCCUCCCAGCUGGCUCUGUCCUCUCCGGUGUCAAUGAUCCCAUCACGAGUUACAACAGGUGGGUGGACUUGUACAAGUUCACUGGGCGGGCACAGUCACCACCUCUGCCCUCCCUCCUUCAGUUCGUGGAUUCUGCCCCCAGACUCUGAGGUCCUCAGGGCAGACCGUGGGGCAGAAGGGCGAAGGUCCUGAGGCCUGGAACCUUCUCGGAGUCCUCAGACCUUGCCCCAGCCAUCUUUGCAGGUGACAUGCUCACAAGGCAACCUUUUAGCCGGGUUGACUCAGAAGGGGCCUUUCCGGCCUGAGUCACCGCCUUCCAGGAGUGCCCAGGCUCUGCCAGCCUCGCCCACCUGUCUGCUUGCUCAACAGCCCUUUACAACAGGCUCCACCUUCCUCAACAAGACCCAACAGGGUUCCCCCUGCCGCUUUCUGGUUCUUGGCGGUCUCUGCCCUGGUCAGCAUGGCUGGCAGCCCUGGCCCACCUGCGUUUGCUCUGCUGCCUUUGUGGGAACCAGGAAUCCCACUGCUGGGAGAGGCAUCCUUGGCAUCUGGAGGGGUUUGGAGACUCGAGGAGGCCCAGCUCUGCCAGCGGAUUGCUGUGUGACUGUGGCAAGGCACUCCUGUAAGGGUCAGAGGCUCCCGGACAUUCCUGAGUGCUUGUACGCAGGCUGGCUACUAUUCUCAGUGCCUGGGAGGACUCAGCUACUUAAAUGAAGGAAUGGUGAGUUAUUUUGUAAAGUGGGUAGCAACCUCCUUAAGUUGGGGGUGCUUAUCUGAAAUCUGCAAGGGAUUUACCUAAUAAACUGAGGCCCCACAUUUAGAAUGGACUCUGAGGAUGGUAUGCCAGUCAAAGACCCUCUCCCAGGUCCUGGCAGAGCCGCUGGCACAAUGCCUGGGUGCAAGCCCACUGUCCAGCCCAGGCUUGAAGGAGCAAGAGCAGUAUCGGCCUGUGCCAGCUCGCUGGGGGCAGGGCAGGCUGGGCCACGUGAACAGAGAGGGCGUCGUCAGGCCUCUUGGGGGAACCUGAGCCGAGCCAGAUCCUGCCUGGCGGGUCCGUCACCUUCAUCUCAGCUUACACUCCCAGGGAAACUGGCUGCUCUGGGUGGAGGCUGGCCCCAGAUAUCAGGGCCCCGAGGAUGCAGCCUUGAACUCCAGAGAGAGGCAGACCAAAGAGUGGGGCGUGGCAUGGAGACGCCCUUGGCAGGGCCCCUGGGUGAGGCUGGCGUGGGGUGGAUUGGAGAGGCCAGGCUUGAAAAGGAAGCUGGAGCCAGGACUUUGAGCUCCGGGUACAGAGGGAUCUCUGCAGAGCUGCUACUUAUAGGUCCUGGCUACCUUCCAUGAAGGGGAGGCUUUCAAUGUGGCAAGAGGAGCUGGCUGUGCUCAGGGUUCUGGUCUACCCAAUGCAGGAGACAUGAGACACAGGUUCGAACUCUGGGUUGGAAAGAUCCCCUGGAGUAGGAAAUGGCAACCCACUCCAGAAUUCUUGCCUGAAGAAUCCCCAUGGACAGAGGAGCCUGGUGGGCUACAGUCCAUAAGGUCGCGAAGAGUCAGAAUGAAGUGACUUAACACGCACGCAUGGCUGCCUGCUGUGCAAGACUCUAGACAAGCCUCUUGCCCUCUUAGUCCCCCCGGAUCCUCUGGGGGCCCUUCCUGCAGUGACCUACCAGGAUUCCAGGUUUCCUUCCCAAAACUUCUGAGAGUAGGGGAAGCCCUAGGAGGGUGGAUGUUGAGAUGUGAAGGGCAUCGUGGGGAGGGGUGGUCCAGGGACAGCAGCGUGGGGGGGAGGGAAUCUCCCCUCUUGUCCUAAUUCCUGGUUCAGAUGCUACAGAUGUGGAGAAUGGCAGAGAGGUGAUGCUGCUGAGCUGCCAGAGGCUGGCUGGGGCCCUCCACCCCCAGUGCAGCUGUGCUCAGGUCCCAGACGCCCCUCCCUUCAUCCUGCCCCUUCCCCGCCCUCCCACAUCCCCCCAGAGCUCAGACCACAUUCCUGCUGCUUUUCUCCUGAGGACUUCAACCUGCUCCCAGGGCCUGGGCUCUUCUCUGGGACCUUGAAUCUGUCUCCAUUGCCCACGACCCUGGGAGACCCUCUGAAGGGAAAGGACCAGAGAGUGGUGGCUCCUCGGCAACUCGUGAAAGACCGUCUGAGGAUGCUUUGUCUCAGAUCUAUCUCUGACUACAGGGACAGACGACUUGUUGGAACACUUGCUGCUUGCUCUGCCUUUGAAAAGAAGCACUCUUGGUCCUCUCGUUGG